AUAGGUUUGGUCCCUGCCUUCCUGUUAACUUUCAAUAGACUUAUACAUGCAAGCAUCCACGCCCCGGUGAGUAACGCCCUUCGAAUCACACAGGACUAAAAGGAGCAGGUAUCAAGCACACACUCUUGUAGCUCACAACGCCUUGCUUAACCACACCCCCACGGGAGACAGCAGUAACAAAAAUUAAGCCAUAAACGAAAGUUUGACUAAGCCAUAUUGACCAGGGUUGGUAAAUCUCGUGCCAGCCACCGCGGUCAUACGAUUGACCCAAGCUAACAGGAGUACGGCGUAAAGCGUGUUAAAGCAUCAUACUAAAUAGAGUUAAAUUUUAAUUAAACCGUAAAAAGCCAUAAUUAUAACAAAAAUAAAUGACGAAAGUAACCCUACAAUAGCUGAUACACCAUAGCUAAGACCCAAACUGGGAUUAGAUACCCCACUAUGCUUAGCCCUAAACACAAAUAAUUAU
rnacentral:rRNA from 1 species